rnacentral:lncRNA from 1 species
AUUGCUAUAAAUACAUUUAAAUAUUAAUAGUAUGUAAUAUAAAUGUUCGAUUUUUCAAACCAAAUAUACAUAUUAAUUAUUAUGCAGUUAAAAUAGUGUAAAUUAUUCUAAAUUCAAAUCUUAUAAUAAACAAACUAAAAACAAUCUCUUCCUACCACCGUAACAACAGCAACGCAAAAUAAACCUAAUGUGUUAACUUAAAAUGGUAGGGCGAUUUCAACCGUAGAUUUCAAACAGUUAUAUUUAGUUACAAGACAUAAAGCUAUAAGAAUGGAAUGAACCAAACCUUCUUCAAGAAACUAGAUUUGAGGAAAGAAACUGCGUCGAAGACAUUUUUGUUUCAAGCUAAGUAAAAAAAACGUCAUCGCUACAAAAAAAUUAAGGUAAAUUCACAGCCAACUUCAUGAAUAAUUCGUACAAAACAUAAAAGCUAAAAACUCAGAAAAGAGCAGCACAAAUCUAAAUAUAAAAUAAAUUGAUUAUGUACUAGAAUCAAUGAUCACAACAACAACAGUAAUACUACUCAACUCAUACAAACAAUAUAGAUCCAGCAAUCAAUACAUAUAAUCUCUACAUAGGGACAUGAAUAGAGAGAAAGAGAGAAUUAUACACUAAUGCUACUCAAAUCUCCACUCCUACUAAAGUUCCACACAGGUAAACGAGAAAAUCCAUGAGCUAAGCUCAGAUCCGAAGAGAAGAACCGAAGGCAAGAGCAGCAACAGCGCCAACAACCCCGGCGACGAAGGACGGCGAAACAGCAACGGCGGGAGACGUCGGACUCGGUGCCGGAGCGUCGGCGGCGGAGAUAACGGCGACGAGUACCGACAUUACGGCGAUGAACAUUGCUUUAGAGAAAGCCAUUGGAUUUAUCACAAAUUUUCUGAUUUCUGUGUUUAGGGUUUGGGUUGCGUUGGGCGCAGUGAGAGUUCGUUUUGAGGAGAGGCGAAAAUGGUGGUUUAUAUAGAAGGAGGGAGGAGAGGUACGGGCAGUUCGGGUAGUUGCCCGAAGUACAGACUGGCAAUAGGUCCAUUGCCAGCUGGAUCUGCUUCUAUUCUGAAAAAUCAGGUUUCACAUGACUAUUUCACCACGACGCCGUUUCGCUCGCCUGAGGUUCCUUGUCCCAGUGGCUCGUGCUCUCACUUUCACGCACAACAUCUACA